rnacentral:rRNA from 1 species
CCUACGGGCGGCAGCAGUGGGGGAUAUUGCACAAUGGGCGCAAGCCUGAUGCAGCGACGCCGCGUGGGGGAUGACGGCUUUCGGGUUGUAAACCUCUUUCGUCGGGGGACAAGGCUCUGCUUGGUGGUGGGGUUGAGGGUACCCGGUGAAGAAGCGCCGGCUAACUACGUGCCAGCAGCCGCGGUAAUACGUAGGGCGCGAGCGUUGUCCGGAAUUAUUGGGCGUAAAGGGCUCGUAGGCGGCUUGUCGCGUCUGCUGUGAAAAUGCGGGGCUUAACUCCGUACGUGCAGUGGGUACGGGCAGGCUAGAGUGCGGUAGGGGUGACUGGAAUUCCUGGUGUAGCGGUGGAAUGCGCAGAUAUCAGGAGGAACACCGAUGGCGAAGGCAGGUCACUGGGCUGUUACUGACGCUGAGGAGCGAAAGC